rnacentral:rRNA from 1 species
UUGCAAAAAACCAUUUUAAUUUAUUGAUAAUUUAUUUAAUAAAAGUUUUAUUAAAAGGUUUAAAGAAAUUGUAUUUCUUAAAGAUAUAAAUUAAUUUUUGUACUGAGAGGGAAGAAUUGAAAUAUAUGAAAUAUAAAAAUAUUAAUAAGUUUUAAUUAGUACCUUUUGCAUUAGGGUUUUUUAAAAAAAUUAAUAAAUUUAUUAAUUUCCCGAAAUAAAUAUGAUCUAUUUAUAAUAAUUUUUUAUGUGGAAUUAUAAAAAUCUACUUAUGGAUAGAUAUGAAAUUUUUUUCAUAUUUUAUGAUAUCUGGUUUUAAAAAGGAGAUUAUACAUCUAAUUAUUAUUUAUUUUUUCUUUUAAAAAAUUAAUAAUUAAUUUUUGUAGGGAUAAGCUUAUAAAAAUAUUUUUAAAUUUAAAAAAAAUGAAUAAAAAAGGAUUAAAAUUUUCUUUAUUUUUUAAUAAAAAAUUUUUUUAUAAGCUUAAAUAAAAUAAAAUAUUUUAAUGAUUAAUUAAAUUGAAAAUUAAUAAAAAUAUAGAAAAAUUAGUAAAUAUAAAUAAUUUAUUAUUAAGUUAAUUAAAUAUAAUAAUAUUUUAAAUAAAAUUUAGGAAUUCGGCAAAUUUUAUAUUUGACUGUUUAACAAAAACAUUUCAUUUUGAUAAUAAUAAAAUGUAUGAUCUGCUCAAUGAAAUUUAAAUUGCUGUGGUAUUUUGACUAUACGAAGGUAUUGAAAUAAGGCUUUAAAUGAGUGCUAAGAGAAUGGUUUAACAAUUAUAAGCUUUCUUUUUUUUAAGAAUUUGAAUUUAAUAUUUUUGUGAAGAAGCAAAAAUGAAAAUUAGGGACAAGAAGACCCUAUGAAUUUUAAUUAAAUUAUUUCAAAAUAGAAAUAAUUUAAUUUAAUUGGGGCGAUGGAAAAAGAAUUAGUAUCUUUUUAAAAAUAAUUUGUUCCGAUAUUAUCGAUUUUAUGAAAAAAAUACUCUAGGGAUAACAGCGUAAUAAUUUUGGAUAGUUCCUAUAGAUAAAAUAGUUUGCGACCUCGAUGUUGGAUUAGGAUUCUUUUUUGGUGAAGAAAUUAAAAAAAAGAAGUUUGUUCAACUUUUAAAAUCCUACAUGAUCUGAGUUCAGACCGGCGUGAGCCAGGUUGGUUUCUAUCUUAAUAAAAAUGAUAAUUUUUUUAGUACGAAAGGAAUAAAAAAUUUUAAUUUUUAGUUUAAAAAAAAUAAAAUUAUACUAAUUUGGCAGAAAUAU